GCCUCCUCCCGCGUCUUGGCCCGCAAGAGUCCCGGGGGUCCGCCCGCAGCUGGCUAAGCGCUAGCCCGGCCUGUGGCGAGUCUGCAGAGCUCGCCCGGAAGUAGCGUUGCGCGCGCAGAGGAUGGGCGCUGAGCAGCACACAGCCCGCGGCGGGGUCUCAGGAUCCGCGGCGCUGCCCGGGGCCGGGGGAAGGAAGCCAGCCGAGGAGACGCACGUGCCCUGAGUCCGGGAGCGGGGAGCCUCUUCAUCUCUCCAUCCUCCCUCCGCGCGCGCCCUCAGCCGUCCUCGUCCGCUCACCAUGCACCUCCCCUCCAAGAAAGGGCCACAUGCGUGCCAGGGACGCGAGCCCCGGCCACAGGGACAUAGCAGCCUAGAAGGUGAUGCUUCGCACACUCAAGUUUGAAGAUUAACGGUCCUAGACGUCAAACCUAUUUGCAUGCCAAGUGUCGUUUUAUUUUAAAAUGUCUUCACUUUUUUUUUUUUUGGUAGAGAAGGGGGUCUUACUACGUUGCCCAGGCUGGUCUUGAACUCCUGGCCUCAAGUGAUCUUCCCAGCUUGGCCUCCCAAAGUGCUGGGAUUACAGGCAUGAGCCACUGCCCCCAGUCCCUUUUUUUUUUUUUUUUUUUUUUUUUUUGAGAUGGAGUCUUGCUCUGUUGCCAGGCUGGAGUGCAGUGGUGCGAUCUUGGCUCACUGCAACCUCUACCUCCUGGGUCCAAGCGUUUCUCCUGCCUUAGCCUCCCGAGUAGCUGGGACUACAGGCCAGCUAAUUUUUGUAUUUUUAGUAGCGACUGGGUUUCACCAUGUUGGGAAGGAUGGUCUCGAUCUCUUGACCUCGUGAUCCGCCCACCUCGGCCCCCCAAAGUGCUGGAUUACAGACGUGAGCCACCACACCCUGCCCAGUCUCUUUUUUUCUGGAAGUUUUAAGAUACUCGACGCAUGCCUUUGGCUUUGUUCAGCCAAAAGGGACUAUUAAAUGGAAAAAAGCAGGGAGGCACUACAUUAUGUUUUAAAGCUCACACUGAAGUUAACCUCAAGAACUAGAAAGUACAGAAAACAAGGCUUUCCCUACAUUAAGCAGGAAGAUCAGCAAACACAGGUUCGAAACAGGAAAGCACUGAACACCCGAUGGCUGCCUGAGAGAAACGUCCCAGGACACACUGACCCACGUGACAGCACGUGCCACUCAGACGAGGUGUCAGCAACGGAGACAGAAUGAGGAAACGGAGACCAAGGUGACGUCGGCAGUGGCCGCUGAUGCCUGCUCCAGGUGGGGUGGUGGUGGCCAUGGGCUCUGCGAAUCCCAGGCUCAAUGGCAACACUGAGGUGGGAGGAGGGGAAGGGACACUUGCUGGUGUCUGGCUUUCCUCUUGGGCAUCAGCUUCCAGCCCUUCAGCCUCAGCUCACCAACUUCCAUGGGUGGGCCCUGCUUGACUCCCCCAGCCUGUCAGCGUGUCGCCUCCCCUCUGCCACCCUGGGCUGCUUCACAACUCAGGACCGGAUGUGAGCUAUUAGGGAACCAGGCUUCCUGAUUUCCAGAGGCCAUCAGUGUGGAAGGGUGCAGGCCUGGGAGCCACCUUUGUGAGCAGGCAGGGAGAGCAGGUGGGAGUGUGAAGCCAGCACCGAGGAAGGAAGCAGAGCUGGGAAACGGUGUUAAGGGACAUGCGUGCAUGCGCGCGGUCCACGGCCUAGGCUCUGCCUUUGGGCCCUACCCACCGACUGUGUAUGUGAGCCCCCACAUUUGCAUUUAACAAUUUAACACCAGGCACCUGUCUCCUGCAGUGAUGCAGGCUCGGGACCUCCAGAGCAGCGGGCAGGAUGACGCCCUGAACCUGCACUUCAUCUCCUGGCUGCUUUAUUCUGUCAAUUGACUUCUGUAAUACAAUUUCCAUAUGGUGACACUGCCUUCCAAAACAGUUAGAGCUUAUUCUCAGUAUUCUUCAUUGGCAGUGGAAAAUGCUUCAGUACUUUAUUGAAAGAAAGCAAUAAAUAAUACUGUGAUAAAAAUA
rnacentral:lncRNA from 1 species